UAAUGGAAUUUUACCAAAAGGGGGGAUCCCCUGCCCUCCCUGCCACUGCCCAGCAGAUAAGGGGUUGUGACAAGAUAAGAACAAUGAAGAGGUCAUAUUGUCUUUGGAAAGAGGAGUGUAGCAUGAACAAAUUCACAACUUGGGUCCAGUAGCUUCAGGAAAAGUCUAAAUAAGCUACAUGUAUAGAUGGGAGAUUCUGAGCCUUGGGAAAAGUUGAUGUUACUAAUUUCAAGAACACAACAUUUCGUUCUUUAACAAUGCUAUUUUGUAUUGUGGUAUUGUUUUCAUACUGUAUUAUAUGUUUAUAUAUAAUCUAUAAAUUUUUAUCUUUUAAAAUUUUUCAAAUUGAUGAGCAUAUGUGGCAGGACAUUUUGUCUCCUCCUUCAUUUCAUGUUUGCGUCAUCCCAUACGUGCAGCCCCUCUGGGGCAGAUCAGAAGAGCUCUCCCUCUCCAUCCAGGAAUGAAACAGGAAUGGAAUAACUGGCCAUGCGGUCCAAGAGAGAGGCAGCCAUGCAGGUGGCUGCAGGAAGAAAGAGUGAAGGCUCCUGUGUGAGGCACGUGGAGCAGAUGGAGCCAUCUGAAUAGGUUUGAGAAGCCACUUCCUAUUCUCUGGCCAAGGAGAAUUAUGGAUUGCAAUGGGGAUACUUGAGCCAGAGCAUGAACAAACAUUAGGAGACAAGCGAGCACUCAAAUGGAGCAGACAGUGAUCAUGGUGAAGAAUUAUCUUGAGAUUCACCGGGGUUUAUCAGAAAGUAAGAAACAUGAGCGGGCAACUGAUUUAAUUGCUAUAAACGUAAGUGGCUCUUCACACAGAUGCCCCCCCACUAAAAAACACCCCCUUUUGAGGCAUGGCAUGAGGUGGAGUAGAAAGGCUAACCAUCUAAAAUU